rnacentral:rRNA from 1 species
GACGAACGCUGGCGGCGUGCCUAAUACAUGCAAGUCGAGCGAAGUUUUUCUGGUGCUUGUACUAGAAAAACUUAGCGGCGAACGGGUGAGUAACACGUAAAGAACCUGCCUCAUAGACUGGGACAACUAUUGGAAACGAUAGCUAAUACCGGAUAACAGUAUUUCUCGCAUGAGAGCUAUUUAAAAGUUGGUUAUGCUAACACUAUGAGAUGGCUUUGCGGUGCAUUAGCUAGUUGGUGGGGUAAAGGCCCACCAAGGCGACGAUGCAUAGCCGACCUGAGGGGGUGAUCGGCCACACUGAGACUGAGACACGGCCCAGAGUCCUACGGGAGGCAGCAGUAGGGAAUCUUCAGCAAUGGGCGAAAGCCUGCCGGGGCAACGCCGCAUGAGUGAAGAAGGAUAACGGUUCGUAAUGCUCUGUUGUUAGAGAAGAAUGGAUAUGUAGUAACUAUACAUGUAAGAGACGGUACCUAACCAGAAAGCCACGGCUAACUACGUG